rnacentral:rRNA from 1 species
AACGAACGCUGGCGGCAUGCCUAACACAUGCAAGUCGAACGAGACCUUCGGGUCUAGUGGCGCACGUGUGCGUAACGCGUGGGAACCUGCCCUUAGGUUCGGAAUAACUCCCCGAAAGGGGUUCUAAUACCGGAUAAUGUCUUCGGACCAAAGAUUUAUCGCCUUUGGAUGGGCCCGCGUUGGAUUAGCUAGUUGGUAGGGUAAAAGCCUACCAAGGCGACGAUCCAUAGCUGGUCUGAGAGGAUGAUCAGCCACACUGGGACUGAGACACGGCCCAGACUCCUACGGGAGGCAGCAGUGGGGAAUAUUGGACAAUGGGCGAAAGCCUGAUCCAGCAAUGCCGCGUGAGUGAUGAAGGCCUUAGGGUUGUAAAGCUCUUUUACCCGGGAUGAUAAUGACAGUACCGGGAGAAUAAGCUCCGGCUAACUCCGUG